GGAGGGGCUGCGGCUAGGAGGCGGCAACGGAGAAGACAGCAGCAGGACAGAGAAGAAUUGGCCCUAAUGCACACAACCACUGGCUUGGAGCUCUGUUAGCCCAUGCACAUGAAGACCUCAUUUUGGAAAAGAGCCCCUUUGAUGACUCCCUGGAGUUCCCUCACUUGAUAUCAUUGUCCAUGCCAUGCUAUGUGCUGUGCCGUGCCACAAAACCUUGUG